GUCUCCCUGGAAAGUAAGAUACAAAACAUUAAAAUAUAUUAUGCUAUAUCCUUCCUACACAAAUGUAUUCAUGUUUUAUUUAUUUUUCUGUGACACAGAGUGGACCUGAACAUGUAACUGAGAAAACCAAGUAAAAACCUGACAUAUUUAAAUGGAGACAUCACUAUAGGUCAUUGUAUCUUGUCUCAAUAUAAGGAAUAUGAAGAUGUAGUAUUUGCGAUCAUCAAUUAGUAGUAGUGCUCAUGGCAUCAACUUAAGCUACUUACUAGUCACUUAAAAUACAUUAAUGACAUAUUCUCAACUGCAUAGGCCAUACAGAAUCAAACUGGAGAACCAUGAAUGAUAAAGUGGAAGAAAAUCAACAUCUUAGUAUUUAGUACUAUCCCAGCAUGUGCCUGAAGGAAAUGGGGAGAAAACAAAACAAUCUCCAGGACAAGACCUGGGACCUUCCAAAUACAAAACAAAUUCUAAAAUUCUGGAGCCCUCGCUAUACAAACAUAAUUAAAUCUGGGCCAUUUCAUGUCUUGGGGAAUAUACUGCUGAUAUGUAAAAAUUUAAAAUGUACAGGAUUGACAUGGACAAGGAAAUCUGGAAUGGCUCUAGACUGCUGUAUGUUUCCUCUUCUAGAAUUGAGUUCCAUGUAACACUGCGCCAAGAGGAAUAAAAACUUUGUUUUCGAUUGAUUUCUCUACACAAAAUAUGACAACCUGCUCACUGUGCAUACAGAUGGAACUUCCUACAGUCAAUAUAUUCCUAUGGAGUAAAUGAAAAAUUCAGCAGAAAAAUAACAGUGAAACAUACUUAAAAUUUUAAAACUUAUGCAGGUUUGAAUGUAACAACCUGUCACUAUAAGGUUGCCAAAAAUGUUAGCCAUUCAUGAGAUGACAAAAGUUAAGCAAUGUCAGAGGAAAAUAUUAUCUCUGAAUCAAGAGGGGUAGUAAGAUUUGACAUGCAACUGCUGGGUGUCCUGAAAACAGUUCUAUCUACAAUGCUGAUUUAAGAGGCAGUGCUUUCACUGCUCUUAAUGAAAUGUUUUUGGGCACAUUGAAAAUCCUGUAGCAUGCUUAUUGAAAUCUCUCUUCCAUCUGUUCAUAUACAUGAAUUAAAAGUACUUUAUCUGCAUCUGUCUGUCCUCAUGAAUGAAAGAACUUGAUAGUGGAUACACAUUUUGAUAACUUAUACCGGAGAAUUUUACAAAAAAUUAUCAAUUCAAAUUAUUUUACAACAGACUAUAUUUUAUUGAUUUAACAUGAUCCCAAUAGUAAGUCUUAAUUAUAGUUAGACUGUACUGAAAUCAGAUUUGCUUUAUUUGUUAAUUUAUGCAACUUUCAGGUGUAUAUAAAAUUUGCUUUCAAUGUAUGUAAUAACAGUGAACAGUAAAGCCUUAGUAUUGAUUGCUAAA